UUUAUUUUCCUGUAAAAGAAGUCUAUACAAGCCUAGAGAAGUCAUCUGGAACUAGGAAACCCUGUGAGAAGAUCUAGGACAAGAGCAACCAUUUUUCAAGAGAGAGUACUUGAAAAGCCAUCCAGCACAAGUUGUGCAAUGAGAGGUCAGCCCUUAUUAAACAAGGACUCCAUGGAAGAAAAAGAGCUAAGGAUUCAAAUCUA